UCCCCUCCCCACACUGGCCUCCAACUGGCAUGCAGCGCACUUCCAAGAAAGAGGCACCAGCAUUGGGGCCUGAGCAAGGGGCGGAAAGAGGUGUCAAAGCAAGCUCAAUCACAGGCCCAGCGUGGGGGAAUUAAAAUACAGCAGACGGUAAGAAAGAAGCAUCCUAUCUUAGUAAAAACAACAUAGGGGAGCCUGAGUCGUGGGCCAAAGCAGCUUCCCUUGUCUCUUUUCACCCCUGGAUUGAGAGAGCACCAUCCAGUGUUAACCCUCAGUGACCUCAAUUUGCCCCUCUCGGUAAUGCCUCCCUACGCUUUGUACUCUAAUCAUGACUUUCUAUUUUCUGCGCUCCCUUCCCUGCAUCGGAUGACGUGUGCCCUCUGCUUACGAAAGCUCACGCUAUACAUCUCUGAUUUGGUUGAUAACGUGCAAAUAUAUCCCGCUUUCUGUCUCAAUUUGAAAAUCAGCACUAGGAGCACAGAGGUAAGGCAAGCCGUGAGCAGACUGGUUACUCUUCUACCACUGGUUGAAAUAAAAAUCUCCUGUCAAGGGGUGGUCCGGGUAGAAAUCUUCAUGCAGAUUGAUUCCUUCCUUGGUCUGUCCCCAGGGAUUGUUACACUUAAGGGUCUUUCUUCACCCGUACUUGACUUCAAAGAGAUAUUCAACAGCCAAGAGCAUGAGGCCACCUUAACCUGUGGGUGGUGGAUACUUGAGAAGAAUCCAGGGUUUCGGGCAGUUCAGUAAUGGGAAGAAGAGAGCAGUGAAGGCACUGGUGAUCAGACGUCACCUUUCUCUACUGAUAUUGGGCAUCCCCACAUAUGCUGCUGUCACUUUGUCCAGUCAUCCAUCUCACUGGCCACUUGUCAGAGCCGGAGGACCACACCUAACUGGCUAAAGAAGGAGACUGCUGAAAAACAGACCCAGUUAGGAAUGUAGGAAAAGGUUGUAAUAUUGAUUCAGAUCAUUGCUCCACCCUGUCUGCUUGCCUACCUCUGCCAGUGGGCCGUACCUGGCGUUUCUGAGGGCCACAGUCCUUUCAUAAUGCACCUUAUUAUUAGUGCAGUAUUAGAGGCAAGAGAAGCAAUAUUGCUUCCCCCGCCUUCCCUCCCCAGUUCUCUUGCUGCUGCUGUUACUGCACAUUGAACGUAUUCUCUUCAACUGGGAAAUGUUUUCUUUUUCCACAAGAUGUUUCACCCAGAAUGCACUCCAGCUCUGCAAGAGGUUUCUAGUGAAACAAUGAACACAUUAAGACAGGGCUGACAGUAAAUGACAGCGGGGCGUUCUGUCAAAAUACCACUCCAAGAGAAACGGAGCCGUGGCCAAGAGGGUCUGAGCUCCGUGGCAGAAAGCAGCGGAGCCAUAAGCAAUCGUGCCAGUCAGCUUCGCACGUGGAGUGCAGCUCUGCCUCCUUCCAUCCCUCGUAUAUAUGCAGUUUCUAUUAUCCUCGAUUCUUUAGCUUUGAUUUUCUUCUUGACCCGCAGCCAGUGGCGAGAGAGGCAAGAAGUUAGGUAAGAGUGAGUGAGUGACAGGAACAAACAAGCUGUUUGUACUGGCAAGACGCUUUAGCAGGGGACCCUCCUGGGUGGCUAAGAUCAUAGCUGGGAUGAGUUUGGAGGUCUCGGUGGAGUUCCUAAAUGCGAGUCAGAAACCUGCACAAAAAGCACAGCUGACAAUCUUGGGGGUUCUGUCCGUUUCCUAAAAAUAUAAGGAAAUAAUGACUUGGCUCUUCGCUUCCUAAAUCCUUUUAGGCUGGAAUCCACAGCAUAUUUCCCUCCAAGUAAAACACCCCUAAGUCCAACAUUUUUACAUAACAAAAAGGCACGCUGAGCUGGAAGCUCUCCCCAGUGCCUCAAGUGAGACACGACAUGGAUGGAAAAUGUAAAGUAAAAAUCGCGCCGGGUUUUUGUGGAGCAUUUGCACCUGUCACAUUUUGAGACUGCAUUAUGAGCGUGCGCUCUGGUUUUUCAAUGUAUAUACCAUUGGAGCUGUAAGUUUGGAGGAUGAUUUGAGGCCUUGGAAAAUGUGAUGCAACGCUUGAAGUUUUUUUCUCCACCAAAGUAGUUUAGUUUUUUUCAUCCACAGGAAAAGCAAAUCUGCAGAAAUAGUGUUAUUGUGACCGUUUGCUGGGUCUGUGAUUCUGGGGGAGGAAACCAAAAGCUACCCAGGCAGAGGCAGGUUUAAGCCUCUUGCAUUUGUCUGUUUAACCGUUCGUUCAGGUGUGCAACCAUCCUCCAGCACCCAUGCUAAAGCAGAGAAGAGAGACUAAGAAGCGCUAUCCUUAACAAAAUACCUUUGUUUGGGGAGGAAGGCAUGCUGAGCUUUUUAACGUUCCUCAAAGUAGGGGAUCCACAUUUCUGCAUUCUUUGCUGUGAGUUUGCUUUGGGUGUUAGGGGGAGCGGUUAAAGUCUGAGUAACCAGGGAUCACCAAAAGCAAAACAUCAGUAUUUACGUAUAGCAGAGAGAUGCUAUAGAUUGUAAACCCAGCACAGACCCCUUACGUGAAUAUGCACUCGCACAGCAUUUCAUACCAAGUGCCCUGUAUCUCUGAAGAAAAACAGGCUUUGCAAUUUCUACAGUUCCACUUUGGUUUUAGUUACCUUCCACCGCCACCCCCAGUUCAACUCCACGUCCCUCCCGGAGAGUGGGCAGACAAACUCUGUUUAUCCAUGUUGGGAACAAGCUAUUUCUUGGAGGCACGGAGUUGCUAGUGGUAAAGGUUAUUUAACCACAGUGCUUUCUACAAUUUCUCCUCCUUGUUUUUUCCCUUUCGGUCUGUAACAGUAAAACGUGUGGCGAGUCCAGACUUUCAAGAGAUGAAACUAAACAUCUGACUCCCUUGUAGCAAAAGGGGCCCUCAAGAGGUAGAGCUCCUCGGCACUCAGCACAGAGAGCUCCUCUGUCAUUCCCAGGGGAUCACUCUUGUUUCACAGCAACCCCUGAAGAAUUUCCAAGGCUUUUAACUAGAGAAUCCCGAGUCUAAUAUCCGCCAAUCUCCUUGGCUGCCCCAAGAAAGCCUCUCAUUAUUGGUGUUUGGUGACUGCAAAUGCAUCUCCCCUCCCCCAAGCCCAAAUGUUCCUUUCUGGAUAAGCAAUGGGAAGAGACCGAGUCACUGAUAAAGCCUAGACUUUGCACAAGACCCCACCAUUCAGCAUCUAUUAUUUCACUUCCACCGCCGUCCUUGAGGUAUGGAGUAGCUGAGAUGUGGGUCUGUUUCCACCUCCUGUUUCACUGAUUCAGUCGGUUUGAUUUCAGCUUCAGGCAGGCAAUAAGGUUUAACUCGUAAUGUCCAUAUUUCCUAGUGCCAAUUUCAACAUACACUUUGCCCAGCUUCUGCCCCAAGUGGUGCAGGCUCCGCGGUUCCCCUGCAGGGCAAUGCUCUGACCUAAGUUAUCUGUACAUUCCUGAGCAGGAGAAAUGCGAAGUCUGACAUACAGCUUUGGCAGCUUUCCCUUGCUGUCCAGCCUGUCCCAAAUACAGCCCCUGCAAUGACCUUCCUCCCCCAUUAAUCUGACUUUGUCACUCUCCCAUUGUCGGGGACAUUGAAUCAAGUUCAGCUUUCAUGAUCCCGAUCUGGGAGCAGUUCUUCAAAUGCCCUAGGUGUGUCAUGACAGAGAGUCAGGCCCCUUUAUCAUCUCUGUACCUCCUAGACUGCGAGCUCUUCAGGACGGCGACUGUUAUAUUGCUUUCUCGUGCAGUUCCCAGCAUAGUUGAGAUAUAACUCAUAACAAUCAGAUGCUGGUAGACAAGAGUUGCCAUCAUCCCUACCUCCCCACCCAGAGCUGUUGAAAAAUUCACCAAAUCAGACCUGUAACAUGUAGAGCAUUUUAUAAGUUAAACAAGACUGCUGUCUUCCUUAGCACUUUCCCUUUGUGGGGAGGUAUUAUUUUACCGCUCUUGGAGCCUGAUUACAGCACCAUUGCUAUAGAAUUUGUACUUGGCUUGGGAAAGCUAAUCAAUCUUCGCUGCUCAGAGUGGCCAGCAGCUUUUUUCCCCCAUCCUUUCUUUUCCCUCUUGGCUCCCAUUCUAAAGUAGACUUGCUUUGAUAGAUGAAUUAUUAAUUCUUUUAUGGCUACAAAGAAGUCGUUAUUUAUAUGACAAGGUCUGACUUGUUUUUUAGAGGAAAAACAGCCAUAACAAUUAUGCAUAUGUAAAUAAAUGAAUAAACUGAUUCUCAAACAGAUUCUGUUAAAGGCAGUUGCCUUCCAUCUGUCUGGAGAGGAAAUAUUUCCAGUUAAAAGAAAUGGAGCGUUCUGUCUAAGGCAAACACUGUUGACAAGAUGGUAACUUUUGUUGCUGGUAUAAUUCAUAUUUAAUGAGCCCUUGUCCUUUUGCUUUUCCAAAAUUAUAUUUAAAUGCAAAGCAUAGUAAGAAUGAAUAAGCUACAAGCUGGGUGCAUAGAAUAGCAAAGCCGUAAAAAAAAAAAAAAAAAAAAAAGGCUGCUCAGGCCCUAGCAUUCCCUGAAUCUGGCCUAACUCAGGUAUGGGAUGACUGAGAAACAAAGCAUUCCUCAGAUAUUUAGCACCUGAACAACACCCCCAGCCAUGCCCUGCCUGCCUGAGCUGCCUUUUGCAUUCCUGCAGGUCCCUCCCCUUCACACCCAGUGCAAUCCUGUGCAGGGGAGGCAUGGGACCUCCGAGUGCUUCCUGCACUUGUGGACACCCCCAGACAGCCAGUCAAACUGCAUGGUUGGUCCAGUUCUGCAGACCCAUGCCAGCACUCCCUGCAUGUUUUCCCCUAAGCUGCGGGGGUAAUGGAGGCCAAACACGUACAAAGCACUUUGCGUGAAAGAGGCAGUGCGAGUUUUGCCUUUGAUUCCUCCUGAGUUUGGCAGCUUGCCCUGCAUUUCCCAAUUACAUGUACAGUCGUUUAAUGAAGCCCUUUUGUAUUGCAGAAGUGCAGUGGGGUGGGAAAGGGGAGGGAUGGAGGGGAGGGCCUCAUUGUCUUUUGAAGGAUUAAGUAAAGAAAUAUUUAAGGGCAUCGAGUUUGCUUUGUGUGGUUUCCUUUGCUCCAGUGGUAGAAAACACAGAUGUCAGUGCUGUGCAUGACACAGAUAGUCCGAGUGUGUCUCUGAUGUAAUCGGGCUGAAUAAACAGCCCUGUUUUUCCUUUUACACCAGGGUGUUUUCUGUCCUCAGCAUUUUCAUAUGUUUAUGGAGCUGAGUCUAAUCUGAUAGACUAUUUCUGGAUCAUCAGAAGAAAUGCUGAUUUCAAUACAGAUGAGUUGACAGCCACGCCAAGCCAUGCUCAGUUCAGAGGGUAGAUUUAGGUAAAUGUUAAUGAAACUAAGGGGCCAGAGAUGUUUCUUGGCUUGGAGGACAAGUCUGUUUCAUGGCACUGCCUUGCUUUCUCCAGGACUCUCAACAGCACCCUCUGUAUUACAUUUGACCCUUCGAUCAUCCCUUGUAUUGGGACUUUUGCAAGGGGAUAGCCAAGGAAUGAGGAAGUGUAGCAUUAAAAGGGCAUUAUCACUAAAAACUUGAAAAACCACUCUGGAUAAUUUUACCAGGACAGGAAUUUUCUUUUGCUUUUUCUGAAGAUAAUUGUUUUUUAAUAAGAGAUUUCUCCAUUGCUGCAUAAGAGCUGCAGAGGGCGACUCCCAGCUGAGACAAGCCCCAAAAAAGUCUUGCCAAUAAGCCUGAGAGCUCAAGACAGCUUCUAAUGGCUCAGCCCAAGGAAGUUGAUUCUCAAAGCAGAACCAUUCAAUGCAUCUCUUUCCUGUUCAGCAGGAGAAACAAGACCCCCAGCUGAGCGUGUGCUCGGGAGGAGUUGACUUCCAGCUUAUUAUAGAUCCCACCAGUUCAGGCCACAGAAAGCUCCCUUUUGUUUGCUCCAUGCAGCUGCUCUUUAAGCACCCCCACAAGGAUCCCUCAUUUGAGUCUUGGCUGUCACAACACAAAGGACUUGACACCACAAGUCCUUUUAGGAUGUACAAAGUUGUUGUGGUCCGACGAUGUCAGUAGAUGCUGUAUAUGAGUUCAGGUAAGGAAAAGUGCUAAGGAUGCCUCUGAGGAAGGAAGUCCCAAAGCUCUUAACAGGCCCACUCCUGCAUUCUCAUGGGGGACAUAGGAAAUAAGAGGCAGGAGGUGGGUAGAGAUUGGUUUUCAUUUCUCUUAAGGGUAAUUGAUGCACUCAAGCUGCACACUCCCCUCUUUAAGACCCUACUCAUGUUCAGGCACAACUUGGCAGACACCCAGCAGCACUCUUAUUGCUGUAGCGCUAAGGUACUCUGUCUUCCCUGUCCUGCCCAUCAUUUUUACCUUGCUCAUGUACAUGCAUUAGUCUGCAUCUGCAGAGUGAAGGCUCAAGCCUGCACAGAAUGGAGCUUCGGAGUUGGAUAGGGGACUCUGCUGAUGGGUAAAACCUCCUAAAGGGUCUGUCCAACAUCUGACACCUUAUCACUCUCAGCUUCUCCCUCUACCCAAUGCCUGAACCCCUUGCUGUAGUUAUGUUCCUACACACCCAGGACUCAAGAUGAUGUGAAAAACUCCUCCUAUCAUCCUUUGGGUCAAGCAAGAAGCGCGGGAGGUGGCUCAUGGAAGAGGAAGCCUGCUUGAGCUUGGGUUCAGAUUGACUCAUAUCUCCACAGCUGAGUGAAAGGAUUACAAAAUGGGGAAGGAGGUUAUACUUGAUCCGUCUGACAGAUUUCCCUAGGAUCAAACCAUUACAAAAGUAUUUGCUCCCUGUACCUUUCAGCCAAGUGAUGCCUAUGCCUCUUUCACCUUCAAAGCAGCCGACUGGUAGUGCUGUAACGCCAGCCUGGGUGGCACAGUUUCCAAUAAAUGGUGACUCACUAUCGUUGCAUCAACCACAACGUUUCCAGUGUGCCAACGCUUUUGGAAGUGGAAUAUCUGAGGCUGAUGUUCGAGUCUGGCCAAGGUCAUUCCUUGGUGUAGGUCACUUAGCACAAUGCAAGCUUGAGCCAAAGGUGGACAGGCAGUUUGGUAAUCUUGUGGCUGGAUGGCUACCUAGAUCAUGGUGCCACCCUUUUAUUCCUCAGUGAGACUCAAAGGAAACUGAAGAAAGUGGAUGAUGCCAUUGUUUCACCUGAGCUUUAGACCUCAGGCUGCAUCUGUUGCUAGGGUCUCAGUGCAAGAGAUAUGGUAUGAAAUGAGUUUGGUCAUACAGGUCAUGUUGCAUGUGACUUGCAAACAAGGGCGGCAAGUUCAUCUAGUAGGAGGGCUCAAGCUGGGUCAGCUGUUCAUUGUGACCUUAGGUCAUGUGGGAGUUUGAAGCUGGAAAAUCCAUUAUGUGAACCGCUAUGAGGGGUUUUUUUCAGAUGAAAAUAGGUGUAUGUCACUUUAAAGAUUCAGCUGGCAGCUGGGUAUUCAUCCUUUGGAUGCAUUUCACUGUUACGGUUCAUUAUGAGGCAUGAUUAGUGAUGCGACCGAGUGACAAAGCGACGAUCCUGCCAAUAGAAAUGAAAAGCUGGACUCGCUAAGACAGUGUCUUUGACAUCCUUCUGUUAGGACUUUCUCAAGCUGAAAGGAAGUGGCCAGCUGCCAGUUCGAUGAAUGGGACAGGUGAACCAGCCCGUAGGUCUCCAGAACUGGGCUCUGGGACCUCUAAAUUUCUCCACUGGGGAAAUGAAUGUUGCACGAGCUACAUCCAGACCCAGGGGGCAGCUGGAAAUGGAAGAGGAGCAGGGAUGCUGACUUGCUGGUGGUUUAGUAUUUUACGAGGUGUGUGUGUUUAACACGGAUUUCCUUCCACUGUGUUGAAGACUCAACAGGCUUUUAAAGGUGCUAGAAAGACCUUUUGUAAUAAGUGUUAUUAUGAAGCAUUGGGAAAGCAUAUAACAGUGGGUCACUGGCCUCCAGGCUCACCGUGCAUGGUCAUCUAGAGUUAAUCUGGUAGCCUGUUGUGAAGACAGAGAGGGGAACUGUUUCUUGCUCUUAGCGUUUCUCUAGUGCCAUGGUUCUCAACCUUUUUAGACUCAAAAACUUCAGACUGUAACGGCACCCCAUUAACAAGCUAAUAUAAAUAUAGCAUAAAUAUUAUAAUAUCAAC